UACAGAGGUCUCAAGCGUUGUUCGGAUUCAUUGGGCGUAAAGGGUGCGUAGGUGGCGGGGUAAGUCUGGUGUGAAAUCUCGGGGCUCAACCCCGAAACUGCACUGGAUACUGCCUUGCUCGAGUACUGGAGAGGAGAUUGGAAUUUACGGUGUAGCAGUGAAAUGCGUAGAUAUCGUAAGGAAGACCAGUGGCGAAGGCGAAUCUCUGGACAGUUACUGUCACUGAGGCACGAAGGCCAGGGGAGCAAACGGG
rnacentral:rRNA from 1 species